GACACUGUACAAGAGAGCAGCCAUUAACAUUCGAAAACCUGUUUUGAGAUGUUGUUAACAUUGUGUUUGCCUUAAGUGGAGUCCAAGUGUGCUCCAAAGUGUUUAGUUGGCAAUUUACGCUCGUGGCGCAAGUUCCUCCAAACAAAGAAAUCAUUGUGAUAAAAAAACAACAAAUACGUUUAUCACUACUAUUCAUUAAGAAAUAGUACUCUGAGUGCAUCCAUCAUUGAUUUUGUUUUAUGAAAAGAAAGACGCUAAAAUAAAAGCGCACCAAAACCAAAAAAAAAAAAAAAAAAUACAACAACUACAAAACCAGCGAAAUAUAACUCGUAUUAUAAAUUCUCCUCACAUCUCCGUUUUGUGACGGGAGCAGAGUGAAAGAAAAAAUCACCGACUGUUAGAGCGUGAUUGUAUGUGCGUUUCGAGUGUGUGACAUUUUCGGAACAGUGCACCAAACUGUGUGAACUCCAACGGAGCCAACAUUCUUCUGUUGCUGCUACGGCUGUUGUCGCCGUUCUUCUUUUGGAUUUUCAGCUUUAGAG